GAUGAACGCUGGCGGCGUGCCUAAUACAUGCAAGUCGAGCGAAUGGAUUAAGAGCUUGCUCUUAUGAAGUUAGCGGCGGACGGGUGAGUAACACGUGGGUAACCUGCCCAUAAGACUGGGAUAGCUCCGGGAAACCGGGGCUAAUACCGGAUAACAUUUUGAACCGCAUGGUUCGAAAUUGAAAGGCGGCUUCGGCUGUCACUCAUGGAUGGACCCGGGUCGCAUUAGCUAGUUGGUGAGGUAACGGCUCACCAAGGCAACGAUGCGUAGCCGACCUGAGAGGGUGAUCGGCCACACUGGGACUGAGACACGGCCCAGACUCCUACGGGAGGCAGCAGUAGGGAAUCUUCCGCAAUGGACGAAAGUCUGACGGAGCAACGCCGCGUGAGUGAUGAAGGCUUUCGGGUCGUAAAACUCUGUUGUUAGGGAAGAACAAGUGCUAGUUGAAUAAGCUGGCACCUUGACGGUACCUAACCAGAAAGCCACGGCUAACUACGUGCCAGCCGCCGCGGUAA
rnacentral:rRNA from 1 species